rnacentral:rRNA from 1 species
AGCGAACGCUGGCGGCAGGCCUAACACAUGCAAGUCGAACGGAUCCUUCGGGAUUAGUGGCGGACGGGUGAGUAACACGUGGGAACGUGCCCUUUGGUUCGGAACAACCCAGGGAAACUUGAGCUAAUACCGGUUGUGCCCUUCGGGGGAAAGAUUUAUCGCCAUUGGAGCGGCCCGCGUCUGAUUAGCUAGUUGGUGAGGUAACGGCCCACCAAGGCGACGAUCAGUAGCUGGUCUGAGAGGAUGAUCAGCCACACUGGGACUGAGACACGGCCCAGACUCCUCCGGGCGGCCGCCGUGGGGCCUCUUGCGCGCUGGGCGACAGCCUGACGCAGCCAUGCCGCGUGAAUGAUGAAGGUCUUAGGAUUGUAAAAUUCUUUCAGCGGGGCCGAUAAUGACGGUACCCGCCGAAGCAGCUCCGGCUCCCUUCGUG